GUGGGGAAUAUUGGGCAAUGGGCGCAAGCCUGACCCGGCAACGCCGCGUGAAGGAAGAAGGCUUUCGGGUUGUAAACUUCUUUUACCAGGGACGAAACAAAUGACGGUACCUGGUGAAUAAGCCACGGCUAACUACGUGCCAGCAGCCGCGGUAAUACGUAGGUGGCGAGCGUUAUCCGGAUUUAUUGGGUGUAAAGGGCGUGUAGGCGGGACAGCAAGUCAGAUGUGAAAACCAGAGGCUCAACCUCUGGCCUGCAUUUGAAACUGUUGUUCUUGAGUGUCGGAGAGGUAAUCGGAAUUCCGUGUGUAGCGGUGAAAUGCGUAGAUAUACGGAGGAACACCAGUGGCGAAGGCGGAUUACUGGACGAUAACUGACGCUGAGGCGCGAAAGCGUGGGGAGCAAACAGGAUUAGAAACCCGUGUAGUCC
rnacentral:rRNA from 1 species